rnacentral:rRNA from 1 species
UACGGGGGGGGCAAGCGUUGUUCGGAAUUACUGGGCGUAAAGGGCUUGUAGGUGGCCAACUAAGUCAGACGUGAAAUCCCUCGGCUUAACCGGGGAACUGCGUCUGAUACUGGAUGGCUUGAGUGUGGGAGAGGGAUGCGGGAUUCCAGGUGUAGCGGUGAAAUGCGUAGAUAUCUGGAGGAACACCGGUGGCGAAGGCGGCAUCCUGGACCAUUACUGACACUGAAAAGCGAAAGCCAGGGGAGCAAACGGG